rnacentral:piRNA from 1 species
GGGAAAUGAACCGCCUUGGUGCUUCUGGGA